UACGAAGGGGGCUAGCGUUGCUCGGGAUCACUGGGCGUAAAGGGUGCGUAGGCGGGUCUUUAAGUCAGGGGUGAAAUCCUGGAGCUCAACUCCAGAACUGCCUUUGAUACUGAGGAUCUUGAGUAUGGGAGAGGUGAGUGGAACUGCGAGUGUAGAGGUGAAAUUCGUAGAUAUUCGCAAGAACACCAGUGGCGAAGGCGGCUCACUGGCCCAUUACUGACGCUGAGGCACGAAAGCGUGGGGAGCAAACAGG
rnacentral:rRNA from 1 species